AGCCCUGUUGAUAUGAUCUGUUUGGAAAUGGCCUCGGAGGGGACAGGCUUCUGGAGGGAAGCGGGGUCUCGCCAAGGGUCACACUAGUUUUAGUCCGCAACAGCCCCAUGGAGCGCUCACGUCCUCAGAGAGAGGCUCCUGCCAGCUCCUCUCCUUUCAAGGAACAGUCUAGCACCUGGGAGGAAUCCCAGAGGUGAUUCUCCUUGAGACGUCCAAGGAAAACGGACAGGCUGACCUGACCUAGUUUCUCUGGAAGAUUCUGCCCAUCGCUCUCCUUCUGCCUCUGAGCCGUUUGGUGUGGAUCUUGCUCCCUGAGCACCAAGGGGAGCUGUGCCCAGUGCCGCCGUGACAGCUGGGGUGGUGACUUCACAGCUGCCAGCAGAGGAACUCAGGCCAUCGUUACACCUGGCUCAGGCCCCACAGGAGCUCCCCGAGGUCUUCCUGGAUCUGGCAGGCUGAGCUGAGAUGCGGGAUGUGCCUCCUGCCUGAUCGGCCCCAGGAGAGGAGGGGACAGCUGGCCGCCUUUGCACCUGAGGACCAACUUUCAGGAAAGGCAUGUCCUCUGCUAGCAAGGCUGGCCCCCGCCCCCGACCCCUCGUGUCAUACCACAGCUCUGCGGCUUUUUCUGCUGGAGGAGAGGAUUGGGAAGGAGAAGAAGGGCUGGGUCUGAUGUCCGAUGUUCACCCACUCGCUCUCGGCUAAGAUGCAACGCCUCUACAGCUAGGCUCCUGUGAAACAAGCGUGCAGCGCGGACCCUGAUGAAAUCACAGUCUCCAGGCACCGCGUGGGGGCGUCGUGGACAGAGCGCGGACUUUGCUAUCGGACUGAACCGGUUCAAAUCCUCCUCUCACUCACGAGCGUUGAGACCUCAGACACCUUUCUCUCUACAACACAGGGACCAUGGUACUGACUUUACAGCACAACCGUGAGGGUUUUCUAAUGGAGCUGGGAUCUAUUUAGCCCAUGAGCAUUGCUCAGCAAAAGCAAGACAGCUCCUUGAACAAAAUGAGCAAUAGCUGCUCUGUGCUUGAAUGCUGGAGCUGGUUUGGUUCUAGUUUGGGAAUUAUCGGGUGCCUUUGUGUUCAGAGCUGGGAGCAGAAGACAGGGGCUUCCUUUUGCCUGGUCUCCAGGCCCUGAGGGGGACGGCCCUGUGCAGAGCUCGGCUGUCACCCUGCAGCCCGUCAUCAUUCCUCUGAGGCCCCGGCAGCACAGAUGGAGUGGGGGAUGGGGCAGUGUGUAGCAACUAGAAGAAGCAGGUGCCUCUCUUACUCCGCUUCCAGGCUUCGGAAGUCCAUUUAGCCUACAAUCCAAUUAAAGGCCUGCUCUGCGACCCCACCCCAGGCCUGCAGGAAGCCCGCUGGGUAAGGUCACAGG
rnacentral:lncRNA from 1 species